rnacentral:rRNA from 1 species
AGCGCCGAGUUGGCAGAGCGCGUGUGCGUCACGGCCAUCACCAAGUGCCUCAUGACAUAACUUAUCGCCAAUCUCCACGUCCACGAGGCCACGUCAGCCAGCAUGGUCACCAACUUUGAGGCGACUCUGAACCUGCUCGCCCUCGUCGGAGGCUUCCUGGCUGACGCAAAAAUGGGGCGCUAUAUCAUGACGGUCAUCUCAGGGAUAAUCACCGCGAUUGGCGUCGGGCUCCUCACGGUCGCGACGACCGCGCCGAGCUUACGGCCGCCGCCAUGCUCGGACCCGCACGGGUGCGCCACGGUGAGCGGCGGGCAGCUGCCGAUGAUCUACCUGGCGCUGUACAUUGUGGCGGCAGGGGCGGGCGGUCUGAAGGCGAAUGUGUCUGGCUUUGGCUCCGACCAGUUUGACGCCCGUAUUCCGCGGGAGCAGCAGGCCUUGAGGUUUUUCUUCAACCGUUUCUAUCUUUGCGUAAGCGUCGGAUCACUCUUCGCCGCCACGUUCCUUGUAUAUGUGCACGAUAAUCUAGGCCGCGGCUGGGCGUACGGAACACCGGCGGUCGUCACGCUGCUCAGCACUGCGGCGCUUGUGGCGCGCCGGCCGAGAUACCGGUACAAACUACCACAGGGCAGCCCGCUCCAGCUAAUCGCCACGGUGCUGUGGAGGGCGUGGAGGAACCGCAAGUUGCCACCACCUGCCAACGCAAACAAGCUCAACGGCUUCCACUCGGCCAACGUACCCUACACCGCAAGGCUCAGUGUUCAUUGAAAGGUGGGCAAUGGAGAGAGGGCACCACUAGUACGACAGCGUGUUCGCACGCAAGUGGCCAAUAGGCGCACUGAUGUCGAGGAGGUCAAAUCCGUAGUCAACCUCCUGCCCAUCUGGAUGACGUGCGCCCUCUUCUGGACCACGUAUUCCCAACUAAGCACCUACUCCGUCCUUGAAGCCACCUACAUGGAGAGGCACGUCCGGUCGGCCUCCACUUUCACGAUCCCCAUGGGGUCUUUCCCCUGCUUCCUCUUCCUCUCCAUCAUCAUAGUCACAUCGGUCAAUGAGCACCUUCUUGUGCCUCUGGCUAGCCGCCUGACGCACCGCCCGCAGGGACCGACAUCGCUCCAGCGCGUCGGCCUCGGCCUUGUCCUGGGCACUGUCGCCAUGGUUGUCGUGGCCCAAGCUGAGAAGAAGUGCCGCCAUGCUGCGAACGGGGACCCAUACACCAUCAUGAGUGCUUUCUUCGUGGUGCUGCAAUUCUUCCUGAUGGGCGCUGCGGAGGCGUUUUCCUAUGUGGGACAGCUCGAAUACUUUAUCCGCGAAUCAUCGGAGCGGAUGAAGUCUAUGAGCACGGGGUUGUUCCUGGCGACGGUGUCUGCGGGACUCUACUUCAGUAGCUUCCUGGUGUUUCUUGUUAAGCGCGUGACGCCGGAGUCGUGGUUAGGGAACAACCUAAAUGCAUGUGCCCUCCACAAGUUCUACUGUUUGCUGGCUAUCCUGGGCAUGCUGAACUUUUCGAUCUUUCUGGUUUUCGCGAGGAGCCACCAGUACAAGACCGAGACCGUGACCGAGGACGGCGCAACCUAA